UAAUGUGUAUAUUCUUCUUUACCUCAUCUUCACUAAAGUCUUGCUUCACUUGUAGAAUAAAGAAAGCUACUUCUUUGUUCUUUGAUUCAAGAAUAGUCUCAAGUUUAUGGGCAACUCUAGAUUUGGUUCGCAGUAAACUAAUUAUUUGAUACUCCUACACAUUAGAUGAUGCAUAAACUCAUUAAGAAGUAUUUGACAUAGAGGGGAUACUGGAAUUGGAGUUGAAUGGUUUCAUAUUCGAAAACCCACCUUGUUAAUAUAGCGUGAGAUUUAUUUGCAAAUUUUAGGGAGUACGGUGCAAUCUUUCUCAAGAAUAUCAUACGGAUUUUUUCCUACUCCGAUCUUGCCGUCACGAGUUUUGUCGCAAUUGUUUGUAUUAGAGGGAUUAUCAAGAGAAUCAUCUCAGGUAUGUUAAGGUUAAUCCUUCUUUCUUUUGGCAUGAUCCAAGUAACGAUACGUAAAUGUAAUGAUAUUCCAUAAGUGGAUAUACUAUUAGCAGUUAAGGAUGUCUAUAUUAUUUAUUCCCGUAAAGUGAUAUUCAAGCAUGUCUAAGUAUGUAUCUAGUUCUAUAUUGAGGUAUUUGAUAAAGAUGUUAAUGUUCAUAAUAUUGUGAUACAUGCAUUUUCAUGCAUAUGUAUUUACCACCGAGCUACGACCGGUUAGGUAGUUACAUAUUUAACACUGUGCUAUGAGCGGUUGGGUAGUCAUGCAUAUUCAUUUACCACCAUGGUACAGCCGGUCGGCAGACAUGCAUUUACCAUCGAGCUACGGCCGAUUGGGCAGUUACCACCGGUUGGACAGUUAUGUAUCAUUAUUUACCACCGGUUGGGAAGUCAUGCAUUUACCACCUUGCGAUGGCCAGUCGGGCAGUUACCACUGAUCAGUUGGGCAGACAUACAUCAUACGAUAUGGGUAAUAGAAAUAGUCUCAAAGAGAAUCGUUAUAUAUGUAAGUAUAAUAAGUAUGCAUAUACGGUGGCACUUCAGAUAUGCGGGUUGAUUUUUAUAUGUCUUUAAUUAAUGUUGACUUAUUGUUAUGUUUCAGUUCUGUCUUACAUACUCAGUACAUUAUUCUACUGAUGUUCUUUUGUUGGGAACGAUGCAUUCAUGCCUGCAGGUAUAUAAUCAGAUUGACGAGCCCUCAUAUUAUACGAGAAUGACAUUCAGCAAAGGAUCGAUAAGACUCCACCUGAUUCGGAGUGCAGCAGAGUCUAUGAGUCAUCGUGUUAGAGUUUUGCUACAGAUUUAUGGGUAGGCCGGUACCCUGUCCCAUUUGAUGUCAAAUAAUCUUAGAGGCUUUGUAGACAGAGGUUCAUUUUGUACAGUAUAUCAGAGGCCUUGAUGGCUCAUAUGUAUUCAUGUUUUAAGAAAAAUGGUUUAGUGAUACAGUAUUUCCACUUAUAGUUAUACAUUAUGAGUUGUG
rnacentral:lncRNA from 1 species